rnacentral:rRNA from 1 species
UACGAAGGGGGCUAGCGUUGCUCGGAAUUACUGGGUGUAAAGCGCGUGUAGGCGGGAGGCCAAGUCUGCGGUGAAAUCGCUCGGCUCAACUGGGCGGGGUCCGUGGAAACUGGUCACCUGGAGGACGGUAGAGGCGAGUGGAAUUCCCGGUGUAGUGGUGAAAUUCGUAGAUAUCGAGAGGAACAUCGGUGGCGAAGGCGGCCUUCUGGACAGUGACUGACGCUGAGACGCGAAAGCGUGGGGAGCAAACGGG